rnacentral:RNase_P_RNA from 2 species
GUGGCGGGGGUGAUGAUCGCCGUGGCGUUCGGCGUUCGGGCGAAUUUCGACCCGGAUGUUGAAGGCAUGCCGCGGAGGAAAGUCCGGACUCCGCAGGGUACGGUGGUGGGUAACGCCCACCGCCCGGGCUUCGGUUCGGGUAGGGAAAGUGCCACAGAGAAUAGACCGCCUCGGAGGAAUCGUCGUGCGGCUUGCCGUGCGAUGGCUUCUUCGCGGUAAGGGUGAAACGGCGAGGUAAGAGCUCACCAGCAGGCCGGGCGACCGGCCUGGCUCGGUAAACCCCACCGGGAGCAAGACCAAAUAGGGAAGGAAGGGGGGCAAUCCCUCGGGAUUCGCCGCUCGCGGAUCGGCCCGAUCCGUCAAAACCACUUCCGGGUAGGUCGCUUGAGGCGAUGGGCAACCAUCGUCCCAGAGAAAUGAUCAUCCCGGGCCGGGACGAAAAUGGAUGACCCGGCUCGGACAGAAUCCGGCUUAUACCCCCGCGACGAUC